UUAAAGUCAUUAUUCUGAAGUAAAUCGUAUCCACGGAGAUACAGAAAUUUCAAAAAAUACACUUGGAAAAGAAACUUCGAUCUGGGUUAUGACGCGAAGACUGGGCGUACUCCACAAGCGUGGAGGAAACUAUGAAAGGCAUCGUACAAAGGGAAAAAUAGAGCACGGAGAAUCGAUCCAUCCACUCCGUAGAUACAUACAUAUCGCGAAAGUUUGAUAAGAGGAUUUUCUAGUGCAAUAUUUUAUUCUAUAAAAAGAAAUGCAUUCAUCGAAUGGAAAGAAUUUCUGGGAUGAUCUCACCGAACUCGACGUCCUUCGAAAUUUUCUUUCUUCGUUUUCCUAUAUAAAAAGAAACAAUCGAUCGAAUUUCUCAUUGUCACGAAAAAAUUCCCAUUGGGAUCAGAAGGAUAAAAAAGGAAAAAAAGAAAAAAAACAGGAGCCUGUGUAGACAAACGGGCACACCCGC